GGGUGUCUGCCUUAUGCAGUUGCAGAUAAGGGAUGAAACACACCCUGGCCUCCUGCAACGCCCCCAGGCUUGCUAGGAUUAGGAAAUUCCAGCCUGGCAAAUUCUAGUCAGACCAGUUCUCUGCUCUUGAACCCUGUUAAGAUGUUUAUCAAUGACAAUGUGAGCACAGUGGGACAUAGAAGUUCAUUAGUGAUUCCAGUUUUGCCCUGACCUUGUGAUCUCACCCUGACCUUCUGCCUUGUGAUCUUUCGUCACCCUUGAAGCAUGUGAUCUCUGUGACCCACACCUUAUUUGUACACUCCCUCCCCUUUGAAAAUUGCUAAUAAAAACUUGCUGGUUUUACGGCUCAGGGGGCAUCACGGAACCUGCCGACAUGUGAUGUCUCCCCCGGACACCCAGCUUUAAAAUUUCUCUCUUGUACUCUUUCCCUUUAUUUCUAGACCGGCCAACACUUAGAGAAAUAGAAAAGAACCUAUGUGAAAUAUCGGGGGCUGGUUUCCCCUGAUAGUGAAGGAGACAGGUUAGAUACACUGGAGCUUCCACACAGGAGAGAGGGAAGGAGCUGGAGAAGAAGACAGGAGCCACAGAUUUUGGAGUACUGCAAAAUGACUUUCCAAAUUGAUGAACCAUGGACUCCAAGCUGGAUAGACACAGAAAUGAAAAGAAGGGACUAAUAGGGAAUAAGACGUGUGAUCCAUGGCCCGAUGGCCCUGAUGGACGUGAAGAUCCACUGUUGUGGGAGGAGUGGAACACUAACACUGAAUGAUGGAGGCUGUGGUCAGAAACAGAUUUGUCUGAAUUUCAGUUGAUCCAGAGCAAGAAAAAUAGCUGAAUAUAACUGGCCAGUGCAGAAGAGCCUAUGAAGGUGGAAAAUGGAGGAAGGAGGACCCCAUGCUGGAGAAGUGAUGGAGAUUUGAAGCCUUGGAAGAUGGCGGCAAGGGAGAUGCCAGAGAUGAGACAAUGUUAAACAUCUGUAAUCUAACAGUCUUCUAUGGGAGUUUAUUACAUUUCCAUAUCCUAUGUUCACUUCUAGUGAAAAAUAAAAAUAAAAUCUUAAGCCCCCCACAGCUGACUAAAUGGAUCCCAUUGUGAAAGGAAAAUAUCUUGAGCCUCCAAAAUCACUAAGGAAAAUUCAAGCUGGAAACUUCUUAGGACAAACCUGCCUCCCAUUCUCUUCAAAGUUAUUCCUCUGCUCGAGGAGCUAGAUGCAUAUCUGAUUGCCGCCUUUGGAAAGGCUAACCAGAAACUCAAAAGAAUGAUACAGUUUGUUAUCACCUACCUGUGACCUGGAAGCUCCCUCCCUCCCCACUUGAGUCUUCCUGCUUUUGUUUCAAGCUGUCCUGCCUUUCCAGACCAAACCAAUGUACUUCUUACGUAUAUUGAUUGAUGUCUCACUCAUGUCUCCCUAAAUCGUAUAAAACCAAGCUGUGCCCCAACUACCCUGGGCAUGUGUCAUCAGGAUUUCAUGAAGCUGUGUCACGGGCGCAUUCCCCAACCUUGAAAAAAUAAACUUUCUAAAUUAACUGAGACCUGUCUCAGAUUUUCUGGGUUCACAUUGUUUUCGUCAAGGGGACUCCCCAAGUAACUUUGAAAACUGAGUUCUAGGCUGUGAGGGGAUGGGAGGUCAGAGGUCAGACGCACCUUGCUGCACACCUCCACCUCGCUAACCCCCUUAGGCUUUCUUCCCUAGGGGCUAAACAGAAACCAGCUCUUUCCUUUUUUUUUUUUCUUUUUUUUUAGAGACGAGUCUUGCUCUGUCACCCAGGCUGGAGUGCAGUGGUUCGAUUUUGGCUCACUGCAACCACCACCUCCCAGGUUCAAGCAAUUCUCCUGCCUCAGCUUCCCAAGUAACUGCAACUACAAGCACAUGCCACCAUGCCCGGCUAAUUUCUUUUGUAUUUUUAGUAGAGAUGGGGUUUCACCAUGUUGCCCGGGCUGGUCUUGAACUCCUGAGCUCAGGCAAUCUGUCCGCCUCAGCCUCCCAAAGUGCUAGGAUUACAGGCAUGAGCCACUGCACCCAGCCAAAACCAGCUCUUUCAAAAGACUCCAGUGCUGAUAUCAACAACUGCCUGAGGCUUCCCCACCCUUUUGCAGUUUCCACAUAACAAUUAACCAGCAUUCCCUCCUGAUAAGAGACAACACCCCGCCCGCCGACGCAGAGCGGUUCUGGCCAGUCUUCAGAGGCUGCACACAGAGAGCCUGCGUGUCCCUGCUUUGUCUUUCGAUGUAAAAGGCCUAACUGUCAUGCAUUGAAAUGUGAAGUCUCCAGCCCAAAGUGAACAUGGGACACAUGCUGCAUGCAUGUUAGCCUGCUACACAUGCAUGAUCCUCUUCAUGAAUAUUCAUAGCUCCUCCUGUAAUCUGUUGAAUAUGUAUACUUAGCCAACCUGCUCAACAUAAAUUCCUGUUCCCUUUACCCCUCCUUUGAAAUAUGUGUUUCCAGCUUCUGGCCCAAGGCUACGCUUUCCAGCCUGUCAGAAUGGCUGCCUGCAAGCAGCAACCCUUUAGGAGAAAGAAAGCUCUCCUUUCCAAAUUUAUAAAUGUCAUCAUACUUCAGUUUACAAUAGUAUUUAAUUUUUUGACCUUUAAGUUCUCCAAGGUCCUUCUCCAUUUUUAAGGCUUUCGAAAUUAACUGAUGAUUCUACUAAAAAGCUAAAAAUAGGUUUUUUGUUUCCAAAUAAUCAGAACAUAAUACAGUCAAAAGCACCAUAUAGAAAUAGUUCCCUGUUUCCAGCCAAUACGGCUGUGUCUCUGUUUUGAACAUUUGCCUCCAGAGUGUUGCUGAUGCAGUUCAAACAGAAAGCACUGAGAAAUAAAAUUUGCAAGUGGUUUCUGUUGAGAGUUUCUACUGUUUAUAAGUCUGCGAGAAUUAGUUACGUUACAGCAGGGAGUGAGAGAGAGAAGCAGCGGGUACCAAAACCUCGCUGAGCUCCUACCUGCCCUCCCCAUUUCUUGCCCGCCCCCCAUGGCUACCUGCCCCCUGCGAUGAACUCGAGACCUUGGAAUGAGAAACAGUUCAGAGUUGUCUGGUGUGUGCAUAUCACCUGUGGUCUAACUCAUCACCCUGAAAGAAACCAAAAUAUUUCACCCCAAAAUACCCUUCUUUGACAUAUUUUGAGAGGGCUGUUCAGAGGGCCUGCGAGCAUGGGCAGCCCUGCAAAGGUGUCUGGUGGGGGAGAUUUGCAUCUGAGGGAAAAUCAGCAGUGAUACAGUCAGGCUUAGAGUUCCUCCCUUGUCUGGAUCUAGAAAAGAUUAACUGAGAGUGACAUCUUUAAAGAGCUGAAAGAAACAUUUCCCAUCUAUUCUCUGUGACGGUUGCCACCUGCAAGGUUUCAUCUACAUAACAAGACCACCUUUGCAGACCAGGUCUCCUCUUCUCUCCCUCCCAUAACCUGUCUUGCCAUUAGAAACUGAUUUACCACCAUAACCUGUUUUUAGCCAUGCUCUGAGGCCCCAUUCUUUCUGUAACCUUGAGACGGCAUAAAGAGGUCAACCAUCUGGCCAUUUCUUUGAGUUCUUAUAUUUUGUAGGACUCCCAUAUAUAUUAAUAAAUUUGGAUGCCUUUUCUCCUAUUAAUAUGCCUUUUGUCAGUUGAUUUUUCAGUGAACCUUCAGCGGGUGAAGGAGAAGUUUUCCCUUGGUCCCUACAAUCUGUUUACCCUAAACCAGGCUGAUACAAAAAUUAAAUGAUGU
rnacentral:lncRNA from 10 species